AGUGAACGCUGGCGGUAGGCCUAACACAUGCAAGUCGAACGGCAGCACAGGAGAGCUUGCUCUCUAGGUGGCGAGUGGCGGACGGGUGAGGAAUACAUCGGAAUCUGCCCAGUCGUGGGGGAUAACGUAGGGAAACUUACGCUAAUACCGCAUACGACCUUCGGGUGAAAGAGGGGGAUCGCAAGACCUCUCGCGAUUGGAUGAGCCGAUGUCGGAUUAGCUAGUUAGCGGGGUAAUGGCCCACCAAGGCGACGAUCCGUAGCUGGUCUGAGAGGAUGAUCAGCCACACUGGAACUGAGACACGGUACAGACUCCUACGGGAGGCAGCAGUGGGGAAUAUUGGACAAUGGGCGCAAGCCUGAUCCAGCCAUACCGCGUGGGUGAAGAAGGCCUUCGGGUUGUAAAGCCCUUUUGUUGGGAAAGAAAUCUUUCAGGCUAAUACCCUGGGAGGAUGACGGUACCCAAAGAAUAAGCACCGGCUAACUUCGUG
rnacentral:rRNA from 1 species